GAAUCUUUCACAAUGGGGGAAACCCUGAUGGAGCGACGCCGCGUGGGGGAUGACGGGCUUCGGUCUGUAAACCCCUGUCAUCUGCGAACAAAACACCUGGGUGAAUAGCCCCGGUGCUGAUUGUAGCGGAAGAGGAAGGGACGGCUAACUCUGUGCCAGCAGCCGCGGUAAUACAGAGGUCCUAAGCGUUGUUCGGCUUCACUGGGCGGAAAGGGUGCGUAGGUGGCGGGGCAAGUUCGAUGUGAAAGCUCCGAGCUCAACUCGGAAAUGGCAUUGAAAACUGUCUUGCUUGAGGGUUGGAGGGGGGACUGGAAUUCUCGGUGUAGCGGUGAAAUGCGUAGAUAUCGAGAGGAACACCAGUGGCGAAGGCGAGUCCCUGGACAACCCCUGACACUGAGGCACGAAAGCUAGGGGAGCAAACAGG
rnacentral:rRNA from 1 species